rnacentral:misc_RNA from 1 species
UCGUAACAAGGUUUCCGUAGGUGAACCUGCGGAAGGAUCAUUUUUGAGAUAUUUGAUACACUGUGACUGGACGAUAUUCUUCCGGGCCGGUUAUAGAGGCCCGGGCUUAUAGACAAACAUUCUAGAAAUCUGAAACAACCAAAACAAAACUUUCAACAACGGAUCUCUUGGUUCUCGCAUCGAUGAAGAACGCAGCAAAGCGCGAUAGGUAAUGCGAAUUGCAGACGUGAGUCAUUGAAUCUUUGAACGCACAUUGCGCCAGUCCUCUGGCAUACUGCGUUGAGCGUCGGCCUUCCUCCACAGGUUCUGCUGUUUGCAACAGUGAAAGGCAUGGAACGGCACCCGUUAACCGACCGGUGCACAAGUACCUAACUUCGACCUCAGCGUAGUAAGAUCACCCGCUGAACUUAAGCAUAUCAAUAAGCGGAGGAAAAGAAACCAACAGGGAUUGCCCUAGUAAUGGCGAAUGAACAGGCAAAAGCUCAGAUUUGAAACCCUCGGGAUUGUAAUCUGGAGACGGCGAUCUGGCAUGCUGAGCAAGUCUUCUGGAAUGGAGCGCCAUGGAGGGUGACAGCCCCGUAGCAGCAGCCACAGUAGAUCGGCGCCGAAGAGUCGAGUUGUUUGGGAAUGCAGCUCUAAGUGGGUGGUAUGCUCCAUCUAAGGCUAAAUAUUGGCGAGAGACCGAUAGCGAACAAGUACUGUGA